UACAGAGGGGGCAAGCGUUGUUCGGAAUUACUGGGCGUAAAGGGCGCGUAGGCGGCCUUCUAAGUCAGACGUGAAAUCCCUCGGCUCAACCGGGGAACUGCGUCUGAUACUGGUGGGCUUGAAUCCGGGAGAGGGAUGUGGAAUUCCAGGUGUAGCGGUGAAAUGCGUAGAGAUCCGGAGGAAUACCAGUGGCGCAAGCGGCGCUCUGGGUCGAGCCUGACACUGAGACGCGAAGGCAUGGGGAGCGAACGGG
rnacentral:rRNA from 1 species